ensembl:lncRNA
AUGAGCAGGGUCUCCUCUCCGCCAAGCCACCUGGAUUUCCCAAACAGAUCCAAACCUUCGUCCUCUGCCCAGCGGGGACGGAACCAGCUCCAAAGCAACAACACGAGGCAGGGAGAGGGCAAGAACAGCCAGGAUCUCACUGCCGCCUCCCCCAGCCCGGGGCCACCCACCCGCCACAGCCGGGCUCUGUCCCAGCAGGGGGGGGGACAGGGCGGGGACCCCGCUCCGUGCCCCGAGCCCAGCGCCCUGAAGGUCCCAUCCUGGCUGGGCGCCAGGAGGAGCUGGAGUUAUUUGUCAGCUCUCCGCGGUGCAAACGUUAAUUUGAAUUUUAAUAAACCUCUCCAAGAGAGCUGCUUCGUUAGGGAUGACGGAUGCUGCUCCGGAGAAGGCGCGGGCAGGGCUCGCUGGCAGGGAGACAAAACGGGACGUCAGCAAACAUCCGCUGGGCUGGGGACGGGGGCAGGACGCGGUGUCCCCGAGCUCGGUGUCCCCGGGGACACCCGGGGCUCAGAGCACCCAGCCCCGCAGCAUUCAGGUGACGGGGAGGGGACGCUCCUUGCCCAAGGAGGAUUUCCACCCGAAACGCAUCCCGUGCGCACCCCGCGGCUGUGUCACACGAGCACGGGCUGCGGCCCCGAUGCCACCGGCCAGGUGGGGACCAGGAUCCAGCAACGGCACAAGGACAGGUCCCCAGUGAACCCCCCCCCAGCCCGGCAGCUCCAAGCCUUGCGUUUAACGAACCCGCGGCCCUUCCUCGCUAAUUAUCCUCAGCAAAUGGCUGCACCGCCACCCGCCAGCUGCAGAUCCCCAAAUGGAAGAAAUUAAGAUCACCGAGGCGGGGGGGGGGGCGGGAGGCACCCACACAACCGCCCCCGCUCCCACCUCGGGUGCUGGAGACGCCGGCACGGCCGCACGCAGCGCUCGCCGCCGCGGGCACCCAGCGGCAAAAAUGGGUCCAGCGGGUCCUCGGCUGGGAUGGGAGUGGGACGGGACCAUGUGGCGCUGGGGCACCGGGACCUGUCCCAAAGCUGGGCUUGAGCCCCCCCCCUCAGCCCCCCAGGGGUGGAGGCCGAACGCCUUCUUCCCUGGUGAUAUUCACCGCGAUAAAUGCCCGGUGCGCCGCCACCGCGCGGCAUCGCGCCCGGAGCCGCACACAGGGCUCACUGGUGCAGGGAAAUCGCACCCCUGGCUCGGUGUGUGCCCGGCAGAGCCUCGCCGGCCCCCUGGGAAGCGCAGAAGUUGCAGCUGCCGCUUCGGGGGGACGCGAACGCCACCGCCACAGCCCCACAAACGCCCCGCAAACGCCCACUGCGGCGGGAAGGGGGGUACCGGGACCCCCGGGGGAGCGGGGAGGGGUUCCGUGGCAUUAAACCCGGCGGGUCGCACAGCACCGAGCAGCCAGGCCCUGGGACUUCUUCCCCUCGCAAAGAGGGAAGGGGAAGGCAGGGAAAGCAGCCUCCUUCCCUCCCUGCCUGCCUCCCACACCCCAACGAGCCGUGCACGGUGCCACCAUCGCUCCGCGCGCCGGGAAAGCCUCGUUUGGGGACCCGGCACGCACAGCAUCGCCCCACAGCCACCACCCCAAGAGCCACCCGGGUCCCCAGGGCAUUCCCAUAACCGAACCACGUAACGGGGAGCGCGGGGCACGGGGUGCCCGGCGGGGGCUGGCUCCGGCAGAGGGGUUCCCCCGGCCCCACGGAGGCCGGAGCGUGCCUGGAGCGUGGCGAAGCGGUGCGGGGAGCGCCUCAGCCCCGAGCCCUUCCUCCCGCCCCUGCCAAAAGCCCUCUCCUGGGAGCGGGGCUGGAAAAUCCUCCUGGGAUGGGAA